GGUUCCCAGGACUUUUGAGAACUGGAGCUUGUAGCCUAGAAUUUUUUUUUCUAAAUGAUGUGAAAAAUCAUCUUGUUUACUCACUUACAGAAAACAAUAUAUUGAUUUAAAUUUUCUAAGACACUUUUUGUUGGUAAAAGUCAUAUGCGAGUAGGCGUCAACUAUCCUGAAUUCACACCUGAGAAGACAAAGGCCUGCAUAAUGAGCUGCAUAAUGAGCCAUUCAGUCAGCUGUGUCACUGAGAGGGAAGAGUUACAAGAAAGAAUGUGAGGACAAAAUAAAUGUAUAUAAUUUUAUGUUUGUAGUUUAUUUAGAAUAUAUUUAAUUACCCCACAACAUAAUUUAAUAUUCACUUGUGAGUGCAGUUAAACAGUUUAUUAGGAAAAAUCAAAGCUGACUUUCAAACUGAAUUUUUUGCAUCAUUACUCCAGUCACACAAUCCUUCAGAAAUCCUUUUAACAAUCUUAUUUUCUACAAAAAAACAUUUAUUGUUAUUAUUAUCAUCAUUAUUAUUAUUAUUAUUAUUAUUAUUAUUAUUAUUAUUAUUAUUAUUAUUAUUAUUAUUAUUAUUAUUAAUGUUGAAAAGAGGGGAUAAAUUGAAAGAACAGCAAUGAUUGUUACAUUUGUUACAGUUACAUUUAUUGUUACAUUUAUAUUAUUUACAUCAAGCUUUUGAAUGGUAUAGUAGUGUAUAUUGUUAUUGAAACUUCAUAAUAUUUCACUUGAUUAUACAUUUAGUCAGGAAUUAUAGUUUGGAAAAAAAGUCUUUGGAAAAAAAGUCUAACUAGUAAAAAUGUUUACACGUUAUGUGAAAACUAGUACAAGUAUAUAAAUAAAUAAAAAAAGAGACUUACUCAUGUUUAUGAUCUCUGCUGAAUAAAGUGCUUCAUUCUUUUUUCUGAGGAAAUCCAAAUCUCAAAUCCUCAACCACAUCACAUCUUUUUGGGGUGAAUUAUGUCUUAUUCCUCUCAUCGCGAAGCAAACAGUAAAAUAAUAAAAACUUGAAGAACAGUCUCGCUGCGUUGUCUUCUGUUGUGUGGGCGUAUUCAAAAAGCCGCGCGCUUCAGUGAAACAUUUGAAUCUCAAAAAGUGCGCUCGG
ensembl:lncRNA